CACGAAUAUCCCAUGUCCAUACGUUACUGAGGAAUACUUCUCUGACAAGAUUGUGAUUGACUUCUUAUACACGGUUUUAUUUGGACUUUUUUUGCUGUAUUUAUCCAGCACAGACUCUUUUGGACUUACUUUUUGGACUCUUGAUUAUUAUUCAUUAUCCACAUUUCAAACACUUUUUUUUAUUUUUUUAUCUGGUAUGCAUUUUCUCUUAUAUAGUGUCUUGUAUAUGUGCUUGUAUAGUUUACAAUCAGGUUUUUUUUUAACCUGUGGCGCCGCCUCCCCCUUCACCUUUUUUAGUUAUCUCUCAAGACAAGACCUAUCAAGACAAGACAAACCCCUUGAUGAAUUGCUUGUGCAAUAAACCAGAGAGAUUCGAUUCUAAAUUUCCUUACAAACUCUUGUUGAGCUUGCGUAAAUUCAACACUAGUCUUCAUUUUUCUAAUGCUUGGGAACAAAUGUAAAUAUAUUCCUGUAAACCUUUCCAUAAUGGGAAAUUUCAUGAUUGCACCAUCUUCCAAAAGAAUGUUCAGAUCCUCUGUCAGUACUUCUUUUUGCAUGCUUUUUUCUGUGUUAGAGACAAGACGAACUUGUCCUAUCUUGGGAAUUUCCAAAAUUCUAGGUAUCCUGUAUUUGAAAUGAACUGAAUCAAAUUGUUCAGUUUUAAACAUGC